AAGGGAGUGGCGGAUUGGUUAUGUGGUUGACUUGAAAUCAAAAUAGGAGGGUUCGAUUCCUUCUUCCCUGA
rnacentral:tRNA from 1 species